UGCAGUCGAACGAUGAACUGGAGCUUGCUCCAGGGAUUAGUGGCGAACGGGUGAGUAACACGUGAGUAACCUGCCCUUGACUCUGGGAUAAGCGUUGGAAACGACGUCUAAUACCGGAUAUGAACUGUGACGGCAUCGUCUGCAGUUGGAAAGAAUUUUGGUCAAGGAUGGACUCGCGGCCUAUCAGGUAGUUGGUGAGGUAAUGGCUCACCAAGCCGACGACGGGUAGCCGGCCUGAGAGGGUGACCGGCCACACUGGGACUGAGACACGGCCCAGACUCCUACGGGAGGCAGCAGUGGGGAAUAUUGCACAAUGGGCGAAAGCCUGAUGCAGCAACGCCGCGUGAGGGACGACGGCCUUCGGGUUGUAAACCUCUUUUAGUAGGGAAGAAGCGAAAGUGACGGUACCUGCAGAAAAAGCACCGGCUAACUACGUGCCAGCAGCCGCGGUAAUACGUAGGGUGCAAGCGUUGUCCGGAAUUAUUGGGCGUAAAGAGCUCGUAGGCGGUUUGUCGCGUCUGCUGUGAAAUCUGGGGGCUCAACCCCCAGCCUGCAGUGGGUACGGGCAGACUAGAGUGCGGUAGGGGAGAUUGGAAUUCCUGGUGUAGCGGUGGAAUGCGCAGAUAUCAGGAGGAACACCGAUGGCGAAGGCAGAUCUCUGGGCCGUAACUGACGCUGAGGAGCGAAAGCAUGGGGAGCGAACAGGAUUAGAUACCCUGGUAGUCCAUGCCGUAAACGUUGGGAACUAGAUGUAGGGGCCAUUCCACGGUUUCUGUGUCGCAGCUAACGCAUUAAGUUCCCCGCCUGGGGAGUACGGCCGCAAGGCUAAAACUCAAAGGAAUUGACGGGGGCCCGCACAAGCGGCGGAGCAUGCGGAUUAAUUCGAUGCAACGCGAAGAACCUUACCAAGGCUUGACAUAUACCGGAAACGUCCAGAGAUGGUCGCCCCGCAAGGUCGGUAUACAGGUGGUGCAUGGUUGUCGUCAGCUCGUGUCGUGAGAUGUUGGGGUUAAGUCCCGCAACGAGCGCAACCCUCGUUCUAUGUUGCCAGCACGUUAUGGUGGGAACUC
rnacentral:rRNA from 1 species